rnacentral:lncRNA from 1 species
CGAUGUUCAUAAGAAAAUUUUAACAAAAAAGGUUUAAGAUUAUGGUGAAAUUAAUAUAUAGUUGGUACCAUAUGUAAGGAUGAUGCUGCGAUUCCUGUAGGUUGGGCUGAGUAGGCUGGAGGCGGUAUGGGUAGGCGGCGGCCUGAGGCUGAGGAGGAAGGAGAUUUACAAGUUGAAGUACACCACUAGGCUGCUCUUCUCCAUAGAAUGGAAACUCAUCCAACACUUGCCUAGUAGCUUCAGUUCAGUCAUUGCCUGUUGGUUUUGUUGCUCCAUUUCUGCUUGUUGCCUCUGAAUUUG